rnacentral:rRNA from 1 species
GAUGAACGCUGGCGGCGUGCCUAAUACAUGCAAGUCGAGCGAACAGAUGAGGAGCUUGCUCCUCUGACGUUAGCGGCGGACGGGUGAGUAACACGUGGAUAACCUACCUAUAAGACUGGGAUAACUUCGGGAAACCGGAGCUAAUACCGGAUAAUAUAUUGAACCGCAUGGUUCAAUAGUGAAAGACGGUUUUGCUGUCACUUAUAGAUGGAUCCGCGCCGCAUUAGCUAGUUGGUAAGGUAACGGCUUACCAAGGCAACGAUGCGUAGCCGACCUGAGAGGGUGAUCGGCCACACUGGAACUGAGACACGGUCCAGACUCCUACGGGAGGCAGCAGUAGGGAAUCUUCCGCAAUGCGCGAAAGCCUGACGGAGCAACGCCGCGUGAGUGAUGAAGGUCUUCGGAUCGUAAAACUCUGUUAUUAGGGAAGAACAAAUGUGUAAGUAACUAUGCACGUCUUGACGGUACCUAAUCAGAAAGCCACGGCUAACUACGUG